AGCGGCAGACGGGUGAGUAACGCGUGGGAACGUACCUUUUGCUACGGAAUAACUCAGGGAAACUUGUGCUAAUACCGUAUGUGCCCUUCGGGGAAAGAUUUAUCGGCAAAGGAUCGGCCCGCGGUGCAUUAGCUAGUUGGUAAGGUAAAGGCUUACCAAGGCGAUGAUGCAUAGCCGAGUUGAGAGACUGAUCGGCCACAUUGGGACUGAGACACGGCCCAAACUCCUACGGGAGGCAGCAGCC
rnacentral:rRNA from 1 species